AGAGUUUGAUCAUGGCUCAGGAUGAACGCUGGCGGUAUGCUUAACACAUGCAAGUCGAACGGAAUCUUUCGGGAUUUAGUGGCGGACGGGUGAGUAACGCGUGAGAAUCUGCCUUCAGGUUCGGGACAACAGUUGGAAACGGCUGCUAAUACCGGAUGUGCCGAGAGGUGAAAGCUUAAGUGCCUGGAGAUGAGCUCGCGUCUGAUUAGCUAGUAGGAGUGGUAACGGCACCCCUAGGCGACGAUCAGUAGCUGGUCUGAGAGGAUGAUCAGCCACACUGGGACUGAGACACGGCCCAGACUCCUACGGGAGGCAGCAGUGGGGAAUUUUCCGCAAUGGGCGCAAGCCUGACGGAGCAAGACCGCGUGAGGGAAGAAGGUCUGUGGAUUGUAAACCUCUUUUGAUCGGGAAGAAGACAGUGACGGUACCGAUCGAAUCAGCUCGACCCGGCC
rnacentral:rRNA from 1 species